UACAGAGGGUGCAAGCGUUAAUCGGAAUUACUGGGCGUAAAGCGUGCGUAGACGGUAGCGUAAGUCGGGGGUGAAAUCCUGGAGCUCAACUCCAGAACUGCCUUCGAUACUGGAAGACUUGAGUCCGGGAGAGGUGAGUGGAACUGCGAGUGUAGAGGUGAAAUUCGUAGAUAUUCGCAAGAACACCAGUGGCGAAGGCGGCUCACUGGCCCGGUACUGACGCUGAGGUGCGAAAGCGUGGGGAGCAAACAGG
rnacentral:rRNA from 1 species